rnacentral:rRNA from 1 species
GGACUACUGGGGUAUCUAAUCCUGUUUGCUCCCCACGCUUUCGCGUCUCAGUGUCAGUACCGUCCCAGCGAGCUGCCUUCGCCAUUGGUGUUCCUCCCGAUAUCUGCGCAUUUCACCGCUACACCGGGAAUUCCACUCGCCUCUUCCGGACUCUAGCUCGACAGUAUCCGCCCGCCUCCCGGGGUUGAGCCCCGGACUUUCAGAGCGGACUUAUCGAGCCACCUACACGCUCUUUACGCCCAAUGAUUCCGGACAACGCUUGCCCCCUACGUAUUACCGCGGCGGCUGGCAC